AUUGAACGCUGGCGGCAUGCCUUACACAUGCAAGUCGAACGGCAGCACGGGAGCAAUCCUGGUGGCGAGUGGCGAACGGGUGAGUAAUGUAUCGGAACGUGCCCAGUCGUGGGGGAUAACGUAGCGAAAGCUACGCUAAUACCGCAUACGAUCUGUGGAUGAAAGCGGGGGACCGUAAGGCCUCGCGCGAUUGGAGCGGCCGAUAUCAGAUUAGGUAGUUGGUGGGGUAAAGGCCUACCAAGCCGACGAUCUGUAGCUGGUCUGAGAGGACGACCAGCCACACUGGGACUGAGACACGGCCCAGACUCCUACGGGAGGCAGCAGUGGGGAAUUUUGGACAAUGGGUGCAAGCCUGAUCCAGCAAUGCCGCGUGCAGGAUGAAGGCCUUCGGGUUGUAAACUGCUUUUGUACGGAGCGAAAAGGCUCUCUCUAAUACAGGGGGCUCAUGACGGUACCGUAAGAAUAAGCACCGGCUAACUACGUGCCAGCAGCCGCAGUAA
rnacentral:rRNA from 1 species